UACGAAGGGGGCUAGCGUUGCUCGGAAUCACUGGGCGUAAAGCGCACGUAGGCGGAUCGUUAAGUCGGAGGUGAAAUCCUGGAGCUCAACUCCAGAACUGCCUUCGAUACUGGCGAUCUUGGAGUCCGGGAGAGGUGAGUGGAACUCCGAGUGUAGAGGUGAAAUUCGUAGAUAUUGGGAAGAACACCGGUGGCGAAGGCGGCUCACUGGCCCGGUACUGACGCUGAGGCACGAAAGCGUGGGGAGCAAACAGGG
rnacentral:rRNA from 1 species